rnacentral:tRNA from 1 species
ACCUGAGUGGCUCAGUCGUUAAGCAUCUGACUUCAGCUCAGGUCAUGAUCUCAGAGUUCAUGAGUUCAAGUCCCACAUCAGGUG